GGGUUGUGAGGUUAAGCGACUAAGCGUACACGGUGGAUGCCCUGGCAGUCAGAGGCGAUGAAGGACGUGCUAAUCUGCGAAAAGCGCCGGCGAGGUGAUAUGAACCUUUGACCCGGCGAUGUCCGAAUGGGGAAACCCAGUGUGAUUCGUCACACUAUCGUUAACUGAAUACAUAGGUUAACG
rnacentral:rRNA from 1 species